GAUGAACGCUGGCGGCGUGCCUAAUACAUGCAAGUCGAGCGAACAGACGAGGCGCUUGCUCCUCUGACGUUAGCGGCGGACGGGUGAGUAACACGUGGAUAACCUACUUAUAAGACUGGGAUAACUUCGGGACACCGGCGCUAAUACCGGAUAAUAUAUUGAACCGCAUGGUUCAAUAGUGAAAGACGGUUUUGCUGUCACUUAUAGAUGGAUCCGCGCGGCAUUAGCUAGUUGGUAAGGUAACGGCUUACGAAGGCAACGAUGCGUAGCCGACCUGAGAGGGUGGUCGGCCACACGGGAGCUGAGACGCGGUCCAGACGCCUGCGAGAGGCAGCAGUAGGGAAUCGUCCGCAGUAGGCGAAAGCUUGGCGGAGCAGCGCCGCGUGAGUUAUGAAGGUCUUCGGAUCGUAAAACUCUGUUAUUAGGGAAGAACAAAUGUGUAAGUAGCUAUGCACGGCUUGACGGUACCGAAUCAGAAAGCCACGGCUAACUACGUG
rnacentral:rRNA from 1 species